UGAUGAAUAUUGGUCAAUGGACGAGAGUCUGAACCAGCCAUGCCGCGUGAGUGAUGACGGCCUUAGGGUUGUAAAGCUCUUUUAACAGGGACGAUAAUGACGGUACCUGUAGAAUAAGCCCCGGCUAACUUCGUGCCAGCAGCCGCGGUAAUACGAAGGGGGCGAGCGUUGUUCGGAAUUACUGGGCGUAAAGGGCGCGUAGGCGGCCGAUCAAGUCAGAUGUGAAAGUCCUGGGCUUAACCUGGGGACUGCAUUUGAUACUGAUUGGCUUGAAUGCAGGAGAGGAUAGCGGAAUUCCCAGUGUAGAGGUGAAAUUCGUAGAUAUUAGGAAGAACACCGGUGGAGAAGGCGGCCAUCUGGCUCGGUACUGACGCUCAGGCGCGAAAGCGUGGGGAGCAAACA
rnacentral:rRNA from 1 species